rnacentral:rRNA from 1 species
ACGAACGCUGGCGGCGUGCUUAACACAUGCACGUCGAACGGAAAGGCCCUGCUUUUGUGGGGUGCUCGAGUGGCGAACGGGUGAGUAACACGUGAGUAACCUGCCCUUGACUUUGGGAUAACUUCAGGAAACUGGGGCUAAUACCGGAUAGGAGCUCCUGCUGCAUGGUGGGGGUUGGAAAGUUUCGGCGGUUGGGGAUGGACUCGCGGCUUAUCAGCUUGUUGGUGGGGUAGUGGCUUACCAAGGCUUUGACGGGUAGCCGGCCUGGGAGGGUGACCGGCCACAUUGGGACUGAGAUACGGACCAGACUCCUACGGGAGGCAGCAGUGGGGAAUAUUGCACAAUGGGCGGAAGCCUGAUGCAGCAACGCCGCGUGCGGGAUGACGGCCUUCGGGUUGUAAACCGCUUUCGCCUGUGACGAAGCGUGAGUGACGGUAAUGGGUAAAGAAGCACCGGCUAACUACGUG